rnacentral:rRNA from 1 species
UGGGGAAUAUUGCACAAUGGGCGAAAGCCUGAUGCAGCGACGCCGCGUGAGGGAUGACGGCCUUCGGGUUGUAAACCUCUUUCAGUAGGGACGAAGCGCAAGUGACGGUACCUGCAGAAGAAGCACCGGCUAACUACGUGCCAGCAUCCGCGGUAAUACGUAGGGUGCGAGCGUUGUCCGGAAUUACUGGGCGUAAAGAUCUCGUAGGCGGUUUGUCACGUCGUCUGUGAAAUCCUAGGGCUUAACCCUGGACGUGCAGGCGAUACGGGCUGACUUGAGUACUACAGGGGAGACUGGAAUUUCUGGUGUAGCGGUGGAAUGCACAGAUAUCAGGAAGAACACCGAUGGCGAAGGCAGGUCUCUGGGUAGUAACUGACGCUGAGGAGCGAAAGCAUGGGUAGCGAACAGG